rnacentral:ncRNA from 1 species
UGGUGGACGGGAGCCGAGCUAGCUUAAAAUACAGAUUCUUAUGCUUUUGCAUCGAUUGGCUGGCUCCCUGAUGUGGUUUCUUGGGAAUCUUGAAAUCUGGGCAUAACAGUGCGGACCAGGGGAAUCUGACUGUUUAAUUCCAACAAAGCAUCCCAAAGGCCCGCAGCAGGUGCUCUGAAUGUCAAAGUGAAGAAAUUCAAUGAAGCGCGGGUCAAGGGUGGCAGCAACUAUGACUCUCUUAAGGUAGCCAGAUUGCUCGUCAUCUAAUUAGUGAGGCGCAUGGAUGGAUGAACGAGAUUCCCACUGUCCAUAUCUCCCCUCCAGCCAAACCACAGCCAAGGGAUCACGUUUGG